rnacentral:rRNA from 1 species
CUACGGGUGGCUCCAGUGAGGGAUAUUGCACAAUGGGGGGAACCCUGAUGCAGCAACGCCGCGUGGAGGAUGACGCAUUUCGGUGUGUAAACUCCUUUUAUAUGUCAAGAAAAUGACGGUAGCAUAUGAAUAAGCACCGGCUAACUCCGUGCCAGCAGCCGCGGUAAUACGGAGGGUGCAAGCGUUACUCGGAAUCACUGGGCGUAAAGGACGCGUAGGCGGGCUUGUAAGUCAGGUGUGAAAUCCUACAGCUUAACUGUAGAACUGCACUUGAAACUUCUAAUCUAGAGUAUGGGAGGGGGAGAUGGAAUUAGUGGUGUAGGGGUAAAAUCCGUAGAUAUCACUAGGAAUACCUAAAGCGAAGGCGAUCUCCUGGAACAUUACUGACGCUAAGGCGUGAAAGCGUGGGGAGCAAACAGGAUUAGAUACCCGAGUAGUC